UACGUAGGGUGCAAGCGUUGUCCGGAAUUAUUGGGCGUAAAGAGCGUAUAGGCGGCCCGAUUAGUCCGCUGUGAAAGUCCAGGGCUCAACCCUGGAAUGCCGGUGGAUACUGUCGGGCUAGAGUCCGGAAGGGGCGAGUGGAAUUCCUGGUGUAGCGGUGGAAUGCGCAGAUAUCAGGAGGAACACCAAUAGCGAAGGCAGCUCGCUGGGACGUUACUGACACUGAGGCGCGAAAGCGUGGGGAGCGAACAGG
rnacentral:rRNA from 1 species